rnacentral:rRNA from 1 species
UACGGGGGGGGGCAAGCGUUUGUUCGGAAUUACUGGGCGUAAAGGGCUCGUAGGCGGCCAACUAAGUCGGAUGUGAAAUCCCCAGGCUUAACCUGGGAACUGCAUCCGAUACUGGAUGGCUUGAAUCCGGGAGAGGGAUGCGGAAUUCCAGGUGUAGCGGUGAAAUGCGUAGAUAUCUGGAGGAACACCGGUGGCGAAGGCGGCAUCCUGGACCAACACUGACGCUGAUGAGCGAAAGCCAGGGGGAGCAAACGGGG